AGUGAACGCUGGCGGUAGGCCUAACACAUGCAAGUCGAACGGCAGCACAGUAAGAGCUUGCUCUUACGGGUGGCGAGUGGCGGACGGGUGAGGAAUACAUCGGAAUCUACUUUUUCGUGGGGGAUAACGUAGGGAAACUUACGCUAAUACCGCAUACGACCUACGGGUGAAAGCAGGGGAUCUUCGGACCUUGCGCGAUUGAAUGAGCCGAUGUCGGAUUAGCUAGUUGGCGGGGUAAAGGCCCACCAAGGCGACGAUCCGUAGCUGGUCUGAGAGGAUGAACAGGCAAACUGGAAAUGGGAAACGGUCCAAGACUCUAAGGGAGGGAGCAGGUGGGAAUAAUGGAAAAAGGGGGGAAGCCUGAACCAACCAAAACGGGGGGGGGGAGAAGGGCUUUGGGGUGGAAAAGCCUUUUGGUGGGAAAGAAAAGGAGCAAGGUAAUAACCCGCUGUUCUGACGGUACCCAAAGAAUAAGCACCGGCUAACUUCGGGC
rnacentral:rRNA from 1 species